UGCGCGGAAGAUGUAACGGGGCUAAACCAUGCACCGAAGCUGCGGCAGCGACGCUGAUGCGUUGUUGGGUAGGGGAGCGUUCUGUAAGCCUGCGAAGGUGUGCUGUGAGGCAUGCUGGAGGUAUCAGAAGUGCGAAUGCUGACAUAAGUAACGAUAAAGCGGGUGAAAAGCCCGCUCGCCGGAAGACCAAGGGUUCCUGUCCAACGUUAAUCGGGGCAGGGUGAGUCGACCCCUAAGGCGAGGCCGAAAGGCGUAGUCGAUGGGAAACAGGUUAAUAUUCCUGUACUUGGUGUUACUGCGAAGGGGGGACGGAGAAGGCUAUGUUGGCCGGGCGACGGUUGUCCCGGUUUAAGCGUGUAGGCUGGUUUUCCAGGCAAAUCCGGAAAAUCAAGGCUGAGGCGUGAUGACGAGGCACUACGGUGCUGAAGCAACAAAUGCCCUGCUUCCAGGAAAAGCCUCUAAGCAUCAGGUAACAUCAAAUCGUACCCCAAACCGACACAGGUGGUCAGGUAGAGAAUACCAAGGCGCUUGAGAGAACUCGGGUGAAGGAACUAGGCAAAAUGGUGCCGUAACUUCGGGAGAAGG
rnacentral:rRNA from 1 species